ACUCAAAUGAAUAGACGGGGACCCGCACAAGCAGAGGAGGAUGUGGUUUAAUAUGACGCUACGCGUAGAACCUUACCGAGGCUUGACAUCUUAGGAACCUUUUGGAAACAAGAGGGUGCCUUCGGGAGCCUAAUGACAGGUGCUGCAUGGCCGUCGUCAGCUCGUGUCGUGAGAUGUUGGGUUAAGUCCCGCAACGAGCGCAACCCUUAUCGUAUGUUGUAUUUUUCAUGCGAGACUGCCCGGGCCAACCGGGAGGAAGGUGGGGAUGACGUCAGGUCGGCAUGGCCCUUACGCCUCGGGCCACACACGUCCUACAAUGGCCAGUACAACGCGUCGCCAAGCCGCAAGGCGGAGCUAAUCGCAUCAAAACUGGUCUCAGUUCGGAUUGAGGGCUGCAACUCGCCCUCAUGAAGUCGGAUUUGCUAGUAAACGUGGGUCAGCACACCACGUUGAAUACGUUCCCGGGUCUUGCACACACCGCCCGU
rnacentral:rRNA from 1 species